rnacentral:lncRNA from 1 species
GACUGAUCUGUGGAUGAAAGAAGUUUUUAGGGUGGUGGUUGGAGGUCUGAGGGUCACUCUGGGCAGCUUCUCAGCUGGGCCAGUUACGUGAGAGAUGCAACAGAUAUGGAGGCUCCUGUGAGGUGAUCAGGGGACGAGAUGUCAAGUGGGAAAUGGAGUCUGACCAGGGCCGGGUGCUGUCUGUUUCCCUGUUUUCCUCUCAGCAACUGGGGCACCAUGGCUAGAUCCCUGUACCUUGUGACCUGGGGCAGGAAGAGUUUUAGAGACCUGGGACUUUCUAAGUGUUCGGGAGCCCUUUUCUUUUCUUCUUUUUUCUUUUUUUUAAAUACUCAACUUCUAGGUAGAUACAACAUCUUUAUUUUACAUUUAUGUGGUGCUGACGAUUGAACCCAGUGCCUUGUGCAUGCUAGGCGAGCGCUCUACCACCGAGCCACAACUCCAGGCCCCUCAGGAGCCCUUUUCUGUCCUCGGGGGUUGCAGCUGUGGAACCAUUCCCUGACUGAACCCCCUACUCACAGCCCUUCUUCCGGCUGCUGAACCUGCGCAAGCUGGGCCUCAGUGACAACGAGAUUCAACGGCUGCCUCCUGAAGUGGCCAACUUUAUGCAGCUGGUGGAGCUGGACGUGUCCCGUAAUGGUAGGUGGGCAAUACAGGGUGAGACAAGGAGGUCCUGGCAGCUGUAGGCAUCUCUCUAUGGUGACCUUCCCACAGAUAUUCCUGAAAUACCUGAGAGCAUCAAGUUUUGCAAAGCCCUAGAGAUUGCAGACUUCAGUGGGAAUCCUCUGUCCAGGUGAAUUCAGUGGUGGGGGUCAGUGUGACUGUGGCAGUCUUGCAGCCCUGCUCUGAGUAUCUGAGGUCCUCUGCUUUCACCUUCCUCUGCCAGACUCC